AUUGAACGCUGCGGCAGGCUUAACACAUGCAAGUCGAGCGAGCGGCGGACGGGUGAGUAAUGCUUAGGAAUCUGCCCAGUAGCGGGGGACAACAUCGCGAAAGGGAAGCUAAUACCGCAUACUAAUAGAUGAGCCUAAAUCGGAUUAGCUAGGUGGUGGGGUAACGGCCUACCAAGGCGACGAUCCGUAGCGGGUCUGAGAGGAUGAUCCGCCAAAACGGGACUGGGACACGGGCCAGACUCCUACUGGGGGCAGACGUGGGGGAAAUUGGGCAAUGGGGGGAAUCCUGAUCCAGCCCAUCCGCGUGGGUGAAGAAGGCCUUAUGGUUUUAAAGCACCUUAUGCGAGGAGGCGUUACUCGCAGAAUAAGCACCGGCUAACUCUGUGCCAGCAGCCGCGGUAAUAC
rnacentral:rRNA from 1 species